GACAGAGGUGCCGAGCGUGAGGCGGAAUCACUGGGCUUAAAGCGUGUGUAGGCGGGUCGUUAAGUGUCUUGUGAAAUCCCAUGGCUCACCCAUGGAACUGCUGGACAUACUGGCGAUCUUGAGCCACUUAGGGGCAACCGGAACAAACGGUGGAGCGGUGAAAUGCGUAGAUAUCGUUUGGAACGCCAGUGGCGAAGGCGGCGAUCUGGACAGAUAUUGACGCUGAGGUGCGAAAGCGUGGGGAGCAAACAGG
rnacentral:rRNA from 1 species